rnacentral:rRNA from 1 species
UACGUAGGGGGCUAGCGUUGUCCGGAAUCAUUGGGCGUAAAGCGCGUGUAGGCGGUCCGGUAAGUCCGCUGUGAAAGUCGAGGGCUCAACCCUCGAAUGCCGGUGGAUACUGUCGGGCUUGAGUACGGGAGAGGCGAGUGGAAUUCCUGGUGUAGCGGUGAAAUGCGCAGAUAUCAGGAGGAACACCGAUUGCGAAGGCAGCUCGCUGGAACGUUACUGACGCUGAGACGCGAAAGCGUGGGGAACAAACAGG